GACGAACGCUGGCGGCGUGCUUAACACAUGCAAGUCGUACGGUAAGGCCCUUUCGGGGGUACACGAGUGGCGAACGGGUGAGUAACACGUGAGUAACCUGCCCACAACUUUGGGAUAACGCUAGGAAACUGGUGCUAAUACUGGAUAUGUGCUCCUGCUGCAUGGUGGGGGUUGGAAAGCUCCGGCGGUUGUGGAUGGACUCGCGGCCUAUCAGCUUGUUGGUGGGGUAGUGGCCUACCAAGGCGGCGACGGGUAGCCGGCCUGAGAAGGUGACCGGCCACAUUGGGACUGAGAUACGGCCCAGACUCCUACGGGAGGCAGCAGUGGGGAAUAUUGCACAAUGGGCGCAAGCCUGAUGCAGCAACGCCGCGUGCGGGAUGACGGCCUUCGGGUUGUAAACCGCUUUCAGCAGGGACGAAGCUUUUUGUGACGGUACCUGCAGAAGAAGCACCGGCUAACUACGUG
rnacentral:rRNA from 1 species